GGGCAUUUAGCUCAUUCGGAUAGAGCAACGGAUUUCUAAUCCGUUGGCGGCAGGUUCGAGUCCUGCAAUGCCCACCA
rnacentral:tRNA from 1 species